AGUGAACGCUGGCGGUAGGCCUAACACAUGCAAGUCGAACGGCAGCACAGUAAGAGCUUGCUCUUACGGGUGGCGAGUGGCGGACGGGUGAGGAAUACAUCGGAAUCUACUUUUUCGUGGGGGAUAACGUAGGGAAACUUACGCUAAUACCGCAUACGACCUACGGGUGAAAGCAGGGGAUCUCCGGACCUUGCGCGAUUGUAUGAGCCGAUGUCGGAUUAGCUAGUUGGCGGGGUAAAGGCCCACCAAGGCGACGAUCCGUAGCUGGUCUGAGAGGAUGAUCACCCACACUGGAGCUGAGACACGGUCCAGACUCCUACGGGAGGCAGCAGUGGGCAAUAUUGGGCAAUGGGCGGAAACCUGACCCAGCCAUCCCGCGUGGGUGAAGAAGGCCUUCGGGUUGUAAAGCCCUUUUGUUGGGAAAGAACAGCAGCAGGUUAAUACCCCGCUGUUCUGACAGUACCCAAAGAAUAAGCACCGGCUAACUUCGUG
rnacentral:rRNA from 1 species